rnacentral:rRNA from 1 species
UACGAAGGGGGGCUAGCGUUGCUCGGAAUGACUGGGCGUAAAGGGCGCGUAGGCGGAUUGCUUUGUCGGGCGUGAAAUUCCAGGGCUUAACCUUGGGGCUGCGUUCGAGACGGGUGAUCUUGAGUUCGGAAGAGGGUCGUGGAAUUCCCAGUGUAGAGGUGAAAUUCGUAGAUAUUGGGAAGAACACCGGUGGCGAAGGCGGCGACCUGGUCCGAGACUGACGCUGAGGCGCGAAAGCGUGGGGAGCAAACAGG